rnacentral:lncRNA from 1 species
UGAGCUCUUUUCUUAAUGGGAUAGUCCACUGGAGGCUACAACUGGUGGGGAUUUGGUACUUUGCAUUUUCCCUUUAUCCAUCUAUCAAGGGAGAGAAUUUCAGUUUUCAGAUCAUAUAAAAUCAGGUGUAAUACAAAACAUAUAACUUGCCCUUUUUUUAACUAUAGAUAAUGGAUUCAGAGAAAACAUAGUUUGCUUUUCUUGAAAUGACACUAAAGAUUCAGAGAAGUUAAAAUCAUCAACGCAGGCAGUCCUGCUGUGAUAUCAGGCCUCACUGUGCCUGUGAGCAGGUGGGCUUUACUGAGAAAACGUCAACCAUUUGGCAGCAUGACAGCAUGACACACUUUGGGGAAACAAAAUCUGUAAUGACAGACAGACUAGUAAAUGAAUGAAGGUGAGUAAUUAUAAUAGAUUUAUAAAAAUAGAAAUUGAAAGGAAGGAAAUAAAAAUAUUGGUAAAACAUGACUUUUAAAACAAAAUCCAUCACCCUAGUGACUUUCUUGAGUAUUUCAUAAAACAUACAUUCAUAUGCUUCAUAUAUUCAUAAAGCAUAAAGCAUAUUCAUAUUAGAAGUUAAUGUUUUAAAAGUUCUAUUGGCCAUGCAUAAUUAAUAAUAUUUUAUAGAAAGAGAAAACUGGAUUCUUAUAAAAAAGGAAUAAUUUAUGUGAGCUAGAGAAUCAUUUUUCAGUUUAUUUAUCUUUAUAUUCAAUGUAUUAUUAGACUUUGUUAUCAAAAAAUGCUAUGCCCACAGUUCAUAGCAGCUGCAAUCCAUUAGCCUAAUGGAUUGAAAUUAUAGAUUGCCUUAGGAAUUGUCUAUUAUGUGGCAAAAUCAAAUAUACACCCUAGAGUGAAAGUCUUGACAUUAUUAAAUGUAAGAGUACAAUGUGUUCAGGAAGAUGUUAAUAAAAGGGAUUUAGGAUAUUUGCCUAACACACCAGAAAGUAAUGUGACAUUUAGGCCAAAAUAGAAGCUACUUGUGUUUUCCUGUUAUUCUUUAGUAGAGCAAUUUACACUGUCAGCCAUUACCAACAGUGUUAAAUAUGAAACGGGUACUAAUUGAUUAAUUAUCCUCUUUUCCUAUCAAACACUAUGCACAUGCUGUGUGUGCAUAUAUUUUAUUAUCACUCAAAAUAGUACCUUGUGCGAUUGAUUUUAUACAUCCGUUUGGAAAUAAAAACUACACCACCACUGGCAAAAUAUUAAGGGCCCACUCUGUACACAGUAGUGGAAAGACGUAUUCCUCGUUGACAUGACCAGACCCAGAAAUGAUUUUCAAAUAAAUAAUCUCAUGCUUAACAGUGUCAUAACCAACAUAGAAAUAUUCCUACCUCUUGUUCACCUUCUCAUUUUCCCUUAGCUGUCUGUGACUUAACUUUUAUCACAUUACAUUAUCAGUAUUUCUGAUUUGAGGAGUUCACUGGUCAGGAUCGGGUUUACAAGCAGCAGCUUUAGAAGCCUGAGCUUUGACAUUCUCAAGUUCAGUUUUGAAGCAAAGAGAAAAGUGGGCGAGGAAAGGUUCAGUUUUCCUUCUUGAGGAUCCCUAAUAUUGGCAUAGCAAUGAGCUGAGCCACCUGUUGACAGGUGGAAUUUAGUGUAGCAAGAGCAUUUUUAGGGAAGGGCUUGUGUGCAAACUUUCAAGAGGAAAGAAACAGUCCUAAUUGCCACUAUUGCAGAGAACAGUUGAGGCACGUUGACUCACUUCUUCAAACCUGCAGAGAUAAUACAGCACUGGAAGCUCAUUUGUGGCUGAGCUGACAGUGGUAUUAGAUAUCAGACCCACAUCUUACACUUCAAAUAUUCGAUUUCCCCUUAUGCAUUUUAGCUAUUCUUCCACACAUAGUUUACUUCCCUAUAAAUCAAUCUAAAUCUUUAUUAUGGACUGAAUGACUAUGUCCUCCCAAAAUUCAUACAUUGAACCCUAAUCCCCAAUGUGAUGUUAUUAGGAAGUGAAUUAGAUUUAGAUGGGGUCCUGGGAGUGGAGCUCUCACAGUAAGUUUACUGUCCUUAUAUAAGAAUAGACCAGAAUGCAUACCUCUCUCUGCCUUGUGGGGAUAUAGUGAGAAGUCAGCCAUCUAGAAAGGGAAGGAGCUUUCAUCAGAAAUAAUAUGCUGACACUCUGAUCUCACAUUUCUCAGCAUCCAGAUCUGUGUGAAGGCCCAUGUUUAAGGCACCCAGUGCAUGGCAUUCUAUUAUAGCAGCCCAGGCUGACUAAAAUAAUCAUUUAUAUUUAGGAAUGAAAAAAAUAAAUAUUGAAAAAUACUUAGAUACUUGAAGUUUAAUAUUCAGGCUUAAUAUUAACAUGAUCAACAUUCAGAGAUAAGAAAGAAAUGAUCAAUUCUGAAAUAUAAAUCCUGUAAAGAUGCAGGGAAAUAAGAAAAGAUUUCUAAUAAAUUAGACAUAAAGGUCACCUGAAAAUUACGGACAACAUUGCACAAAUAGUUAACAUUUAAAACGGUAAUAACCAAAGGAUAAAAAGAAACCGUUUUUUAUAUGUAGACAUUUUCUUUUCUAAGUUUCUUGGAAAAGGGGAAAAAAUGAAUCAUACUAUGGUAGGGUUUGAUGUUCUUUCUAGGAGAGAGCUGGUCAUUUAAGAAAAGUACAUUUACCAAGUCACAUGAACACACUUCUUUCUGUCUGUUAUCUCCUCUCCCUACCAUCUCCACCAAAGCCACAAUCCAUUCAUUUACUUUUAUAUAGUGUAACAAUAUUUAAUAUUCUCUGACCAUAUGCUUACAAUUUAGUUUGGAAGAUCAAUUCAUUCAUUCAACAGACAUUUAUCCAAUGUCAUUAUUGUGCCAAUUAUAUAUAUAUAUGCUAAAUAAUUUAAAAAAAAAGAAAACUAAAGCACUGAAACAUGGCAUAAGAUCACAAGGAGAAUAGAGAAAUUAUACACAGAGUGACCUGAGAUCAGCAUUACCAGGAUUUAAAUAAAAAAGUGGGAUUUAGAAGAAUUAGGCUUAGAUAGGGAUAGAACAAAGCCAAUAUAACUAGUAUGUUAGGGUGAAAAGUUGGCACUGGUCUGGAAAGGAGAAGGAAUAUUUACAUUAAAUGGUAGAAAGAGUCUGGAAAAUUAGUGUAGUGUAAGCAGGACAUUAGUUUCAUAUUAACAUAUUUACUCAAAAGAAAGUCAUUUUCUAUAGACUUACAUCCAACAAAAGUGCAUAUAGGCAUCAUUCCGUACAAUUUCAGAUACUUAAAAGAAUCUAUCAUUCUAUGAAAUAAGUUAAAAAAAACCACUUCAUUUACAAAAAUUCUUUUUUUUUAAUAUUUUUUUUAUUUUCCCACUGUACAGCAAGGGGAUCAAGUUAUCCUUACGUGUAUACAUUACAAUUACAUUUUUUUCCCCACCCUUUGUUCUGUUGCAACAUGAGUAUCUAGACAAAGUUCUCAAUGCUAUUCAGCAGGAUCUCCUCAUUUACAAAAAUUCUUACUUAAGUGUUCUGAAUGGGAAAUAUUCUGGGUUGGAGUUCCUGGAUGUGGCACUGUCCCACUCCUUGUUCACUUCUUAUGUUUUUGGCUAAAGAUGUUGAGCUGGGAAAAUAGAGGAGUAGAUCCCAUUUUAAAUACAAUAUGCUGAGACCGUAAAACAAGGGUGAGGUAGUUUGGAACGUGGCCAAGUCUAUGGUUUUUAACCAGGUGUUUGGUUUUUGGUUGUUUGUAUGCUUUUUGUUUUUAUUUUGCCACAUGGCAUAUGUCUCAUUGAGAUCCUUAACUCUUGUCAGACUUUGUUGACUAACUUGUCAGCUUGUGACAGAACGUGGAAGCAUAUCAUGCAGCCCAUCCUGGGCCUCCCAGCUGAUGUGAUGUGGAGCAAAACCAACCUGUUCUCACUUCGAUGGCCUCCAGUACAUAUUCAUUAACAAAAGAAGUGGCCAUGAGUUUGUAGUCCACUAUAUUUUUUGGUGUUGUUUUAUACAAAAAUAUAAGAUUGGAACAGAUUUUAGUAUAAAAAACAUGGUGACUCAAUCAUAAGAUACUAAACUUGUGGUAUUGCCUUGGAAACAGGCACUAGGCAACUAAGGGAAGAACCUAAAGUGAAAAAAGCAUUACUGAAGGCUAGAAAAAAAUGACAAAUUAUAUGUAAUAUCAGAUAGCUUAACUGUUGCCUGUGUUGUGAUACAGGGAGAUUUUACCUAACCAAUUAUUGGACCUAAUUUUUGGAGAUUGUGAUAACAAACUGAUUCCAAAUUAUUUCAUUUAAAUGCAUAUAAGAAGAGAGAGAGAAUGACAGAGAGAGAGAGAUUAUUGACUAUGGACUGGUAUAUCUUUGACAAGUGAGAGAAAGAUAAAAAGGUUAAGAAAUGAUUAGGUUCAAAUGUGAAAUUUUUUCUCAACAUCAAUGCAUUUCAACAAGACAUCAUCAAAUUAAGAAAUUCAUUAUAGGAGUUCCUGCUGUGACUUAUCAGGUUAAGAGCCCGACGUUAUCUCUGGAUGGUUUAAGGAUCUGGUGUUGCUGCAAGCUGCAGUGUAAGCCCCAGAUGUGGCUUCGAUCUGGUGUUGCUGUAGCUGUGGCCCCAAUUCGACCCCUAGCCUGGAAACUUCCAUUUGCUCCAGCUGUGACCCAGAAGGAAGAAAAGAAAAGAAAAGAAAAGAAAAGAAAGAAGAAGAAGAAAAAGAAAAAGAGAAAUAAAGAAAGGAAGGAAGGAAGGAAGGAAGGAAGGAAGGAAGGAAGAAAGAAAGAAAGAAAGAAAGAAAGAAAGAAAGAAAGAAAGAAAGAAAGAAAGAAAGAAAGAAAGAAAGAAAGAAAUGUAUUACAGGAGUUCCUGCUAUGGUGCAAGGGGAUCUGCAGUGCCAGGAUUCAUGAGGCACAGUAGGUUAAUGGAUCUGAUGCAAUUGUGUCAUGGGUUUCAAUUGUUGCUCAAUCUGAUACACUGGCCUGGGAACUCCACAUGCUGUGGGCUGGCCAAAAAAGGAAAAAAAAAAAAAAA